rnacentral:rRNA from 1 species
UCCAGCCAUGCCGCGUGAGUGAAGAAGGCCUUAGGGUUGUAAAGCUCUUUUGGCAGGGACGAUAAUGACGGUACCUGCAGAAUAAGCCCCGGCAAACUUCGUGCCAGCAGCCGCGGNUAAUACGAAGGGGGCUAGCGUUGUUCGGAUUUACUGGGCGUAAAGCGCACGUAGGCGGAUUGUUAAGUCAGGGGUGAAAUCCCGGAGCUCAACUCCGGAACUGCCUUUGAUACUGGCAAUCUUGAGGCUGGAAGAGGUUGGUAGAAUUCCCAGUGUAGAGGUGAAAUUCGUAGAUAUUGGGAAGAAUACCAGUGGCGAAGGCGGCCAACUGGUCCAGAUCUGACGCUGAGGUGCGAAASGUGGGGAGCAAACAGGAUUAGAUACCCUGGUAGUCCACGCCGUAAACUAUGGGUGCUAGCCGUCAGCGGGCUUGCUCGUUGGUGGCGCASUAACGCAUUAAGCACCCCGCCUGGGGAGUACGGUCGCAAGAUUAAAACUUAAAGGAAUUGACGGGGGCCCGCACAAGCGGUGGAGCAUGUGGUUUAAUUCGAAGCAACGCGCAGAACCUUACCU